UCAGGACGAACGCUGGCGGCGUGCUUAACACAUGCAAGUCGAACGGUAAGGCCCUUCGGGGUACACGAGUGGCGAACGGGUGAGUAACACGUGGGUGAUCUGCCCUGCACUUCGGGAUAAGCCCGGGAAACUGGGUCUAAUACCGGAUAGGACUGCGCGGUGCAUGCCGUGUGGUGGAAAGAUUUAUCGGUGCAGGAUGGGCCCGCGGCCUAUCAGCUUGUUGGUGGGGUAAUGGCCUACCAAGGCGACGACGGGUAGCCGGCCUGAGAGGGCGACCGGCCACACUGGGACUGAGACACGGCCCAGACUCCUACGGGAGGCAGCAGUGGGGAAUAUUGCACAAUGGGCGCAAGCCUGAUGCAGCGACGCCGCGUGAGGGAUGACGGCCUUCGGGUUGUAAACCUCUUUCAGCAGGGACGAAGCGUGAGUGACGGUACCUGCAGAAGAAGCACCGGCCAACUACGUGCCAGCAGCCGCGGUAAUACGUAGGGUGCAAGCGUUGUCCGGAAUUACUGGGCGUAAAGAGCUCGUAGGCGGUUUGUCGCGUCGUCUGUGAAAACCAGCAGCUCAACUGUUGGCUUGCAGGCGAUACGGGCAGACUUGAGUAUUUCAGGGGAGACUGGAAUUCCUGGUGUAGCGGUGAAAUGCGCAGAUAUCAGGAGGAACACCGGUGGCGAAGGCGGGUCUCUGGGAAAUAACUGACGCUGAGGAGCGAAAGCGUGGGUAGCGAACAGGAUUAGAUACCCUGGUAGUCCACGCCGUAAACGGUGGGCGCUAGGUGUGGGUUUCCUUCCACGGGAUCCGUGCCGUAGCUAACGCAUAAGCGCCCCGC
rnacentral:rRNA from 1 species